CUCCCUGCCGGCCGCGCCCGGGGCCGCCCCCGCCCCUGGCACCGCCGCGCGCCCCCCCGCGCCCCCGCCGCGCCCCCGCCGCGCCCCCGCCCGCCCCGACCGCCGCCUCCGCGAGCUGUCAACAAAGGACAACCGGGUUUGGCACCCGGAGGCCGCCGGGCUGCACGCCCUGCGCCCUGCGCAGCCCGGACCCGCCGGCCACCUUAAGUGGCCAAGGGGGCAACGAAAUCCUGCAAGGGGCGGGGGCGCUGGGGACUGGGGGGAGGCCUUGAGACCGCAGCCCGCCAGCACCCCCCAUCGACUCCGCACCCCCGCACCCCCCAGUGCGCGGAGCCCAGCACGCCCGCCCGCCCGCCCGCCCGCCCGCCCGCAGAGUAGGUGAGGGCAGUGGGGAGGUGCCCCCCCACCUCCCCUUAGCACCACCUGUCACCGCGUCCAUCCCGCACACGUCCCUCUUCAUCUUUAAUGCGAGUGACGGGGUGAGUGGGGAGGAGCGGGUGCGGCCCGUGGGGUUGAGAACAGAGGGCCUCGGAAUUGGAAUUGGUGGCAGCAAAUGCCCCCCCCCCCGCCCCCCGCCCGGCCUCGCUCGUGGAUUUCUAAAAGCCAACACGCUGUCAGGUGAGCUGUCUCUGGAUUCCGGAUGGCGAUGCCUCGGUGCCUUUACGACCAUUGAUUCGGUGCCAUGUAGUCUCCUGGUGUCCGCAGGGCCUGGACGUGGCUUUCCGAAGGAGGCCUGCAAGCUAGACCCCAGUGAGCUCGCAGGAUCUGCGUAGUCCCUGCUCCAGCCGAGAGCACAGCGAGUUUACUCAAUAUGUUCAAGUAUUCGGAUAAGCUCCAUCUACUGCCCUCUCGUGGCCACAGUCCUCAGUGGUAUAAACAGAAAAAAUUAAAUUAAAUUAAAAAAAAAAAAUCACUCCUGGGAAGCCUGGAGGGAGUCCAUGAAAUUCCCUGAGCAGGAGCGUAGGAAAAGGGGUGGUGGUAGUUGGGCAUUUAGGCCCGCGAGGGGUCUUACACAGUCGUCCACUCAACACCGUGUAGGAUGUGUGUGCAGGAAACUCUAGGCUUUCCUUCAUCGACUGAAAUUACUUAAUUCUUCAAAAGUUCUCUCAUCAUUGUAAUUAGCUGAAAUUUAUCUCCUUGUGACUUUCACUGGUUAUUCCUGGUUGUGUCCUGUGGAGCCACAUAGAAUCUGUCUAAGCUCUUUUCCCUGAUCCAUACCUGCUUUUUUUUUUUUCCUUCACACUUCUUUGGUGUUUAUUGUUGGCACCCCUCCAGGCAAUUAUCAUAAGUUACCCCAUAUUAUUAUUUAUUUCUCUUUAUAAGUAGGUCUUGUCUCCCCAUCCAGACAGUCUUGUCUACCCUCUUAUCUCUGAGUAGACUGAAUAUAAAUCGCAAUUUAUUAAAGAAUAUGAUUUGAAGAAGAUGCUAGGAAUUUUGGAACAGCAUUUCUCCCAUCU
rnacentral:lncRNA from 1 species